rnacentral:rRNA from 1 species
ACGUUAUCUUUCGAUUGACCUCGGAUCAGGUAGGGAUACCCGCUGAACUUAAGCAUAUCAAUAAGCGGAGGAAAAGAAACCAACCGGGAUUGCCUCAGUAACGGCGAGUGAACGC